GAUGAACGCUGGCGGCGUGCCUAAUACAUGCAAGUCGAGCGAACAGACGAGGAGCUUGCUCCUCUGACGUUAGCGGCGGACGGGUGAGUAACACGUGGAUAACCUACCUAUAAGACUGGGAUAACUUCGGGAAACCGGAGCUAAUACCGGAUAAUAUAUUGAACCGCAUGGUUUAAUAGUGAAAGACGGUCUUGCUGUCACUUAUAGAUGGAUCCGCGCCGCAUUAGCUAGUUGGUAAGGUAACGGCUUACCAAGGCAACGAUGCGUAGCCGACCUGAGAGGGUGAUCGGCCACACUGGAACUGAGACACGGUCCAGACUCCUACGGGAGGCAGCAGUAGGGAAUCUUCCGCAAUGGGCGAAAGCCUGACGGAGCAACGCCGCGUGAGUGAAGAAGGUCUUCGGAUCGUAAAACUCUGUUAUUAGGGAAGAACAAAUGUGUAAGUAACUAUGCACGUCUUGACGGUACCUAAUCAGAAAGCCACGGCUAACUACGUG
rnacentral:rRNA from 1 species